rnacentral:rRNA from 1 species
CCCUUAGAUGUCCUGGGCCGCACGCGCGUUACACUGAUGCAUUCAACGAGCUUAUAACCUUGGCCGAGAGGCCUGGGCAAUCUUGUUAACGUGCAUCGUGAUAGGGAUAGAUUAUUGAAAUUAUUAAUCUUGAACGAGGAAUUCCUAGUAAACGCAGAUCAUCAAUCUGCAUGGAUUACGUCCCUGCCCUUUGUACACACCGCCCGUCGCACCUACCGAUUGGAUGGUCCGGUGAAGCCUCGGGAUUGUGGUUCUUGCCGCUUUAUUGUGGCGUGACCGCGAGAACUUGUCUAAACCUUAUCAUCUAGAGGAAGGUGUAGUCGUAACA